CACCCGACUCAUGUUGAAAAAUCGUGACCUAUACCAGUAAUGGUAUAUGGAAAAAUCGGAUGAAUUGCUGGAAAGCUAAGUAUCAAUAGAUAUAAGCCAAUCAGCAGCCAAGCCUAAGAAGCGUCUUAGGAAGGUUCAGAGACUAGGCGGUUCAGCACGAUCUUGCUGUUUAAUACGUCAUUAGCGUCCGACACCCUACCAUAUAAAGAUGGGGGUGAUGAUAUAGUCCAGCCCUUAACGAAAGUUUUGG
rnacentral:ncRNA from 1 species